GCGGAUGUGGCGGAACUGGCAGACGCGCUAGAUUCAGGUUCUAGUCCUCGCAAGAGGGUGGAGGUUCAAAUCCUCUCAUCCGCA
rnacentral:tRNA from 1 species